rnacentral:rRNA from 1 species
UGGGGAAUCUUCGGCAAUGGGCGAAAGCCUGACCGAGCAACGCCGCGUGAGCGAUGAAGGCCUUCGGGUCGUAAAGCUCUGUUGUUAGAGAAGAACAAGUACGAGAGUAACUGCUCGUACCUUGACGGUACCUAACCAGAAAGCCACGGCUAACUACGUGCCAGCAGCCGCGGUAAUACGUAGGUGGCAAGCGUUAUCCGGAAUUAUUGGGCGUAAAGCGCGCGCAGGCGGUCUCUUAAGUCUGAUGUGAAAGCCCACGGCUCAACCGUGGAGGGUCAUUGGAAACUGGGAGACUUGAGUGCAGGAGAGAAAAGUGGAAUUCCACGUGUAGCGGUGAAAUGCGUAGAGAUGUGGAGGAACACCAGUGGCGAAGGCGGCUUUUUGGCCUGUAACUGACGCUGAGGCGCGAAAGCGUGGGGAGCAAACAGG